rnacentral:rRNA from 1 species
GAUGAACGCUGGCGGCGUGCCUAAUACAUGCCAGUCGAGCGAACGGACGAGAAGCUUGCUUCUCUGAUGUUAUCGGCGGACGGGUGAGUAACACGUGGAUAACCUACCUAUAAGACUGGGAUAACUUCGGGAAACCGGAGCUAAUACCGGAUAAUAUUUUGAACCGCAUGGUUCAAAAGUGAAAGACGGUCUUGCUGUCACUUAUAGAUGGAUCCGCGCUGCAUUAGCUAGUUGGUAAGGUAACGGCUUACCAAGGCAACGAUGCAUAGCCGACCUGAGAGGGUGAUCGGCCACACUGGAACUGAGACACGGUCCAGACUCCUACGGGAGGCAGCAGUAGGGAAUCUUCCGCAAUGGGCGAAAGCCUGACGGAGCAACGCCGCGUGAGUGAUGAAGGGCUUCGGAUCGUAAAACUCUGUUAUUAGGGAAGAACAUAUGUGUAAGUAACUGUGCACAUCUUGACGGUACCUAAUCAGAAAGCCACGGCUAACUACGUGC